UCCGGUUUGUCACCGGCAGUCUCCUAUGAGUCCCGCUUUCACGGUUCUACUACCUACAUGUCAAGGCCAGGUAAGGUUCUUCGCGUUGCAUCGAAUUAAGCCACAUACUCCACCGCUUGUGCAGGCCCCCGUCAAUUUCUUUGAGUUUUAAUCUUGCGACCGUACUUCCCAGGCGGCACGUUUAACGCGUUAGCUUCGCCACAAAAGGGGUCGAUUCCUCUUACAGCAAACGUGCACCGUUUACGGCUAGGACUAC
rnacentral:misc_RNA from 1 species